GAGGGUAUAGCUCAGUGGUAGAGCACGUGCUUAGCAUGCACAAGGUCCUGGGUUCACUUCUCAGUACUCCCA
rfam:Camelus ferus unplaced genomic scaffold scaffold513, whole genome shotgun sequence.